GAAAUGCGAUAAUUAAUGUGAAUUGCAGAAUUCAGUGAAUCAUCGAGUCUUUGAACGGACAUUGCGCCCCCUGGUAUUCCGGGGGGCAUGCCUGUCCGAGCGUCAUUGCUGCCCUCAAGCACGGCUUGUGUGUUGGGCUUCCGUCCCUGGCAACGGGGACGGGCCCAAAAGGCAGUGGCGGCACCAUGUCUGGUCCUCGAGCGUAUGGGGCUUUGUCACCCGCUCCCGUAGGUCCAGCUGGCAGCUAGCCUCGCAACCAAUCUUUUUAACCAGGUUGACCUCGGAUCAGGUAGGGAUACCCGCUGAACUUAAGC
rnacentral:misc_RNA from 1 species